rnacentral:rRNA from 1 species
UUGGUGGGGUAACGGCCUACCAAGGCGACGACGGGUAGCCGGCCUGAGAGGGCGACCGGCCACACUGGGACUGAGACACGGCCCAGACUCCUACGGGAGGCAGCAGUGGGGAAUAUUGCGCAAUGGGCGAAAGCCUGACGCAGCGACGCCGCGUGGGGGAUGAAGGCCUUCGGGUUGUAAACCCCUUUCGGCAGGGACGAAGCGAAAGUGACGGUACCUGCAGAAGAAGCGCCGGCUAACUACGUGCCAGCAGCCGCGGUAACACGUAGGGCGCAAGCGUUGUCCGGAAUCAUUGGGCGUAAAGAGCUCGUAGGUGGUUUGUCACGUCUGCUGUGAAAACUCGGGGCUUAACCCCGAGCUUGCAGUGGAUACGGGCAGACUAGAGGUAGGUAGGGGAGGAUGGAAUUCCCGGUGUAGCGGUGAAAUGCGCAGAUAUCGGGAGGAACACCGGUGGCGAAGGCGGUUCUCUGGGCCUUACCUGACACUGAGGAGCGAAAGCGUGGGGAGCGAACAGGAUUAGAUACCCUGGUAGUCCACGCCGUAAACGUUGGGCGCUAGGUGUGGGGUCCUUCCACGGAUUCCGUGCCGCAGCUAACGCAUUAAGCGCCCCGCCUGGGGAGUACGG